rnacentral:rRNA from 1 species
GGGUUGUGAGGUUAAGCGACUAAGCGUACACGGUGGAUGCCCUGGCAGUCAGAGGCGAUGAAGGACGUGCUAAUCUGCGAAAAGCGCCGGCGAGGUGAUAUGAACCCUUGACCCGGCGAUGUCCGAAUGGGGAAACCCAGUGCAAUCCGUUGCACUAUCGUUAACUGAAUACAUAGGUUAACGAGGCGAACCGGGGGAACUGAAACAUCUAAGUACCCCGAGGAAAAGAAAUCAACCGAGAUUCCCCCAGUAGCGGCGAGCGAACGGGGAGCAGCCCGGAGUCUGAAUCAGCUUGUGUGUUAGUGGAACGGUCUGGAAAGUCCGACGGUACAGGGUGAUAGUCCCGUACACGAAAGCACACUUGCUGUGAACUCGAAGAGUAGGGCGGGACACGUGGUAUCCUGUCUGAAUAUGGGGGGACCAUCCUCCAAGGCUAAAUACUCCUGACUGACCGAUAGUGAACCAGUACCGUGAGGGAAAGGCGAAAAGAACCCCGGCGAGGGGAGUGAAAAAGAACCUGAAACCGUGUACGUACAAGCAGUGGGAGCCUCUUUAUGGGGUGACUGCGUACCUUUUGUAUAAUGGGUCAGCGACUUAUAUUCUGUAGCAAGGUUAACCGUAUAGGGGAGCCGAAGGGAAACCGAGUCUUAACUGGGCGUUAAGUUGCAGGGUAUAGACCCGAAACCCGGUGAUCUAGCCAUGGGCAGGUUGAAGGUUGGGUAACACUAACUGGAGGACCGAACCGACUAAUGUUGAAAAAUUAGCGGAUGACCUGUGGCUGGGGGUGAAAGGCCAAUCAAACCGGGAGAUAGCUGGUUCUCCCCGAAAGCUAUUUAGGUAGCGCCUCGUGAACUCAUCUUCGGGGGUAGAGCACUGUUUCGGCUAGGGGGCCAUCCCGGCUUACCAACCCGAUGCAAACUACGAAUACCGAAGAAUGUUAUCACGGGAGACACACGGCGGGUGCUAACGUCCGUCGUGAAGAGGGAAACAACCCAGACCGCCAGCUAAGGUCCCAAAGUCAUGGUUAAGUGGGAAACGAUGUGGGAAGGCACAGACAGCCAGGAUGUUGGCUUAGAAGCAGCCAUCAUUUAAAGAAAGCGUAAUAGCUCACUGGUCGAGUCGGCCUGCGCGGAAGAUGUAACGGGGCUAAACCAUGCACCGAAGCUGCGGCAGCGACACUAUGUGUUGUUGGGUAGGGGAGCGUUCUGUAAGCCGUUGAAGGUGUGCUGUGAGGCAUGCUGGAGGUAUCAGAAGUGCGAAUGCUGACAUAAGUAACGAUAAAGCGGGUGAAAAGCCCGCUCGCCGGAAGACCAAGGGUUCCUGUCCAACGUUAAUCGGGGCAGGGUGAGUCGACCCCUAAGGCGAGGCCGAAAGGCGUAGUCGAUGGGAAACAGGUUAAUAUUCCUGUACUUGGUGUUACUGCGAAGGGGGGACGGAGAAGGCUAUGUCAGCCGGGCGACGGUUGUCCCGGUUUAAGCAUGUAGGCGGAGGUUCCAGGUAAAUCCGGUACCUUAUUAACGCUGAGGUGUGAUGACGAGGCACUACGGUGCUGAAGUGAUAAAUGCCCUGCUUCCAGGAAAAGCCUCUAAGCAUCAGGUAACACGAAAUCGUACCCCAAACCGACACAGGUGGUCAGGUAGAGAAUACCAAGGCGCUUGAGAGAACUCGGGUGAAGGAACUAGGCAAAAUGGUGCCGUAACUUCGGGAGAAGGCACGCUGAUAUGUAGGUGAAGCCCCUGCGGGCGGAGCUGAAAUCAGUCGAAGAUACCAGCUGGCUGCAACUGUUUAUUAAAAACACAGCACUGUGCAAACACGAAAGUGGACGUAUACGGUGUGACGCCUGCCCGGUGCCGGAAGGUUAAUUGAUGGGGUUAGCGGCAACGCGAAGCUCUUGAUCGAAGCCCCGGUAAACGGCGGCCGUAACUAUAACGGUCCUAAGGUAGCGAAAUUCCUUGUCGGGUAAGUUCCGACCUGCACGAAUGGCGUAAUGAUGGCCAGGCUGUCUCCACCCGAGACUCAGUGAAAUUGAACUCGCUGUGAAGAUGCAGUGUACCCGCGGCAAGACGGAAAGACCCCGUGAACCUUUACUAUAGCUUGACACUGAACACUGGUCCUUGAUGUGUAGGAUAGGUGGGAGGCUUUGAAGCGUGGACGCCAGUCUGCGUGGAGCCAACCUUGAAAUACCACCCUUUAAUGGCUGGUGUUCUAACGUAGACCCGUAAUCCGGGUUGCGGACAGUGUCUGGUGGGUAGUUUGACUGGGGCGGUCUCCUCCCAAAGAGUAACGGAGGAGCACGAAGGUUGGCUAAUCCUGGUCGGACAUCAGGAGGUUAGUGCAAUGGCAUAAGCCAGCUUGACUGCGAGCGUGACGGCGCGAGCAGGUGCGAAAGCAGGUCAUAGUGAUCCGGUGGUUCUGAAUGGAAGGGCCAUCGCUCAACGGAUAAAAGGUACUCCGGGGAUAACAGGCUGAUACCGCCCAAGAGUUCAUAUCGACGGCGGUGUUUGGCACCUCGAUGUCGGCUCAUCACAUCCUGGGGCUGAAGUAGGUCCCAAGGGUAUGGCUGUUCGCCAUUUAAAGUGGUACGCGAGCUGGGUUUAGAACGUCGUGAGACAGUUCGGUCCCUAUCUGCCGUGGGCGCUGGAGAAUUGAGGGGGGCUGCUCCUAGUACGAGAGGACCGGAGUGGACGCAUCACUGGUGUUCGGGUUGUCAUGCCAAUGGCA